AGGGCACCACCUGAAGUGGAGCCUGCGGCUUAUUUUGACUCACCACGGGAAAUCUCCCCAGGCCCGGACACCUUAAGGAUUGACUGAUUGAGAGCUCUUUCUUGAUUCAGCGGGUGGUGGUGCUUGGCCCUUCUUAAUUGGUGGAGGGAUUUGUCUGGUUAAUUCCGAUCACGAGCGAGACUCUGGCCUACUAACUAGACGUUGGAUACUUUAUGGACGUUCGCUGCUUCUUUCAGGGACGGGCGGCGUUCAGCCCCCGAGAAUGAGCAAUAACAGGAGUGUGAUGCCCUUUGAUGUUCUGGGCUGCACUCGCGCUACACUGAAGGAAUCACCGUGUGUACCCUGUCCCAAAGGACUGGGAAACCCGGUGAACCUCCUUCUGGAUGGGGAUUGAGGAUUGAAAUUUUUCUCCCUGAACGAGGAAUUCCCACUUUGCGCGAGUCAUAAGCUUGCGUCCAUUACGUCCCUGCCCUUUGUACACACCGCCCGUCGAUACUACCGAUCGAGUGAUUUAUUGAG
rnacentral:rRNA from 1 species